GUGGGGAAUAUUGGGCAAUGGACGCAAGUCUGACCCAGCAACGCCGCGUGAAGGAAGAAGGCUUUCGGGUUGUAAACUUCUUUUGUCAGGGAAGAGUAGAAGACGGUACCUGACGAAUAAGCCACGGCUAACUACGUGCCAGCAGCCGCGGUAAUACGUAGGUGGCAAGCGUUGUCCGGAUUUACUGGGUGUAAAGGGCGUGUAGCCGGGUGUGCAAGUCAGAUGUGAAAUCUGGAGGCUCAACCUCCAAACUGCAUUUGAAACUGUGCAUCUUGAGUAUCGGAGAGGUAAUCGGAAUUCCUUGUGUAGCGGUGAAAUGCGUAGAUAUAAGGAAGAACACCAGUGGCGAAGGCGGAUUACUGGACGACAACUGACGGUGAGGCGCGAAAGCGUGGGGAGCAAACAGGAUUAGAUACCCGUGUAGUCC
rnacentral:rRNA from 1 species